UACGUAGGGUGCAAGCGUUGUCCGGAAUUAUUGGGCGUAAAGAGCUCGUAGGCGGUUUGUCGCGUCGAAUGUGAAAACCCGGGGCUCAACCCCGGGCCUGCAUUCGAUACGGGCAGACUAGAGUUCGGUAGGGGAGUCUGGAAUUCCUGGUGUAGCGGUGAAAUGCGCAGAUAUCAGGAGGAACACCGGUGGCGAAGGCGGGACUCUGGGCCGAUACUGACGCUGAGGAGCGAAAGCGUGGGGAGCGAUCCGG
rnacentral:rRNA from 1 species